rnacentral:tRNA from 1 species
GGCGGAGUAGCUCAGUGGUUAGAGCACGCGGCUCAUACCCGCGGCGUCGUCAGUUCGACUCUGACCUCCGCUACCA